GCGGGCGUGGUGGAACGGUAGACACGCGAGACUUAGGAUCUCGUGACGCAAGUCGUGGGGGUUCAAAUCCCUCCGCCCGCACCA
rnacentral:tRNA from 1 species